GGACAUCUAAACAAACGGAUAUAAAGUGAGACUGAAAUAAAGAGCGCGCAGCAGUUUCCUUCAAACAAGUGCGGCAGGCAGUGUCUGGGACUUUGUCUCCCCCUGCUGAGCCAAGAGACCACCACGACCCUGAAGCAUUAAAGAAGCUGGUAGAAAGUGACAUGGCUGUGCCAAGACCAGAUGCGCGUGGAAGGGGACAGCAAAGGGGACAGCACUGGGCACCCCAUGGCCACUCUUGCCAAGCUUUUCUCUGAAAGCUUC
rnacentral:lncRNA from 1 species